GACAGAGGGUGCAAACGUUGUUCGGAUUUACUGGGCGUAAAGCGCGUGUAGGCGGCUUUGCAAGUCGGAUGUGAAAGCCCACGGCUCAACCGUGGAAGUGCAUCCGAAACUGCAUGGCUCGAGUCUCGGAGAGGAAGGUGGAAUGCUUGGUGUAGAGGUGAAAUUCGUAGAUAUCAAGCAGAACACCUGCGGCGAAGGCGGCCUUCUGGACGAUGACCGACGCUGAGACGCGAAAGCGUGGGGAGCAAACAGG
rnacentral:rRNA from 1 species